UGUACGACUCUCGGCAGCGGAUAUCUAGGCUCUCGCAUCGAUGAAGAACGUAGCGAAAUGCAAUACUUGGUGUGAAUUGCAGAAUCCCGUGAACCAUCGAGUCUUUGAACCCAAGUUGCGCCCGAGGCCUUCUGGCCGAGGGCACGCCUGCCUGGGCGUCACAC
rnacentral:rRNA from 1 species